rnacentral:lncRNA from 1 species
UUUUCUUCAGCAGCCGCACUUCUCCGCACCUCUCGCCACGCCGCCUCUCCUUGGCACCUUUCCCCAACCUCUGCCACACACGAGGUUCUCUAUUUUCCUUCUCUCCCAACAGUCUUUUUCUACGCCGAUCCCAUGGUGAAGGGUGACUGUGAAAAAGACGGACAAGCUUUUUCUCCCACCCAUUUCUCCGCCGCCUUUUUUUUCCGACAACCUCCACGACAUAACUUGACUUCAAUCCAACGUUGAUGACCUCUUAGCAACGCCGUUGACGAUGAGAUCUGGGUCAGAGCAAGCAAGAUUAUUUAGGUUUGCUAUCAAAUUUCUUCAUUAUUUAUUCAUUUUUGUUUUGCAAUUGAUAGAUUUUUUAGAUUAAUUUUUCUGACGUUGUUGUCUUCAUUCAAUUAUCAAAUAGUG